rnacentral:tRNA from 1 species
AGCCCCGUGGUGAAAUAAGCACGCCGGAUUGCAAAUCCAGAGAUGCAGACUAACACCCUGCCGGGGCUU